UUCCGGUUGAUCCUGCCGGACCCCACUGCUAUCGGGAUGGGACUAAGACAUGCUAGUCGUGCGCCUCCUAGCCACGCUGGAGGCGCGGCACACAGCUCAGUAGCACGUGGCUAACCUGCCCUUGGGACGGGAACAUCCCCGGGAAACUGGGGUUAAUUCUCGAUAGGUGAAGAUUCCUGGAAUGGGUUUUCGCCCAAAAGACGCUUAGGUCAUGCUUCUAGACGUUGCCCAAGGAUGGGGCCGCGGCCGAUCAGGCUGUUGGUGAGGUAAUGGCUCACCAAACCUUUGACCGGUUCGGGCCGUGGGAGCGGUAGCCCGGAGAUGGGCACUGAGACAAGGGCCCAGGCCCUACGGGGCGCAGCAGUCGCGAAAACUUCGCAAUAAGCGAAAGCUUGACGGGGCCAUCCCGAGUGCCAUCUGCUGAGGAUGGCUUUUACCCAGUAUAGAUAGCUGGGGGAAUAAGGAGAGGGCAAGUCUGGUGUCAGCCGCCGCGGUAAUACCAGCUCUCCGAGUUGUGGGGACGUUUAUUGAGCCUGAAGCAUCCGUAGCCGGCUGUGCAAGUCCUCUGUUAAAUCCAGCGAAUAAUCGUUGGCCUGCGGGGGAUACUGCUCGGCUUGGGGGCGGGAGAGGCCGUCGGUAUUCUUGGGGUAGGGGUGAAAUCCUAUAAUCCCAGGAGGACCACCAGUGGCGAAGGCUGUCGGCUAGAACGCGCUCGACGGUGAGGGAUGAAAGCUGGGGGAGCGAACCGGAUUAGAUACCCGGGUAGUCCCAGCUGUAAACGAUGCAGGCUAGGUGUUAGGGCGGCUACGUGCCGCUCUAGUGCCGCAGGGAAGCUGUUAAGCCUGCCGCUUGGGGAGUACGGCCGCAAGGCUGAAACUUAAAGGAAUUGGCGGGGAGCACCACAAGG
rnacentral:rRNA from 1 species